AUUGAACGCUGGCGGCAUGCCUUACACAUGCAAGUCGAACGGCAGCGCGGGGCAACCUGGCGGCGAGUGGCGAACGGGUGAGUAAUAUAUCGGAACGUACCCUGGAGUGGGGGAGUAACGUAGCGAAAGUUAACGCUAAUACCGCAUACGAUCUAAGGAUGAAAGUAGGGGAGUUCGCAAGAACCUCAUGCUCCUGGAGCGGCCGAUAUCUGAUUAGCUAGUUGGUGGGGUAAAGGCCUACCAAGGCAUCGAUCAGUAGCUGGUCUGAGAGGACGACCAGCCACACUGGAACUGAGACACGGUCCAGACUCCUACGGGGAGGCAGC
rnacentral:rRNA from 1 species